rnacentral:rRNA from 1 species
AGUGAACGCUGGCGGUAGGCCUAACACAUGCAAGUCGAACGGCAGCACAGUAAGAGCUUGCUCUUACGGGUGGCGAGUGGCGGACGGGUGAGGAAUACAUCGGAAUCUACUUUUUCGUGGGGGAUAACGUAGGGAAACUUACGCUAAUACCGCAUACGACCUACGGGUGAAAGCAGGGGAUCUUCGGACCUUGCGCGAUUGAAUGAGCCGAUGUCGGAUUAGCUAGUUGGCGGGGUAAAGGCCCACCAAGGCGACGAUCCGUAGCUGGUCUGAGAGGAUGAUCAGCCACACUGGAACUGAGACACGGUCCAGACCCCUACGGGAGGCAGCAGUGGGGAAUAUUGGACAAUGGGCGCAAGCCUGAUCCAGCCAUACCGCGUGGGUGAAGAAGGCCUUCGGGUUGUAAAGCCCUUUUGUUGGGAAAGAAAAGCAGCAGGUUAAUACCCCGCUGUUCUGGCGGUACCCAAAGAAUAAGCACCGGCUAACUUCGU